rnacentral:rRNA from 1 species
GAUGAACGCUAGCUACAGGCUUAACACAUGCAAGUCGAGGGGAAACGGCAUCGAAAGCUUGCUUUUGAUGGGCGUCGACCGGCGCACGGGUGAGUAACGCGUAUCCAACCUGCCCAUCACUUGGGAAUAACCUUGCGAAAGUAAGACUAAUGCCCAAUGACAUCCCACGAAGGCAUCCGAAUGGGAUUAAAGAUUUAUCGGUGAUGGAUGGGGAUGCGUCUGAUUAGCUUGUUGGCGGGGUGACGGCCCACCAAGGCAACGAUCAGUAGGGGUUCUGAGAGGAAGGUCCCCCACAUUGGAACUGAGACACGGUCCAAACUCCUACGGGAGGCAGCAGUGAGGAAUAUUGGUCAAUGGGCGAGAGCCUGAACCAGCCAAGUAGCGUGCAGGAUGACGGCCCUAUGGGUUGUAAACUGCUUUUAUAAGGGAAUAAAGUGGGUCACGUGUGACUUUUUGCACGUACCUUAUGAAUAAGGACCGGCUAAUUCCGUG